GCAGCAGAUUGCCAGAGUCCCAGAGGUGCACACACCCCCCAGGUCACGAUUCCCCCACUGGAAAAGGGAAUGGGUCCUCAGGGUAAGAAGCCUGGAUAGCCACAGGAGAAGGCUGAUUCCAGCCCGGAGUGGGAGAUGGAAACCUCGCCCUGAGCCGGCCCAGCCCUCCCCAGGCCAUCCAAAGGGAGUGACUGUUUUCAGGGGAACAAACCUCACCCACUGUUCUUCUCCCUUGUAGCAACUGGAGUCUGGAAGUACAGAGAAGGAGAAAAGCCCAGCGCAUUUCUGAAAAGGGGAAGGAGCAUGGCCCUGCAGCUUUCUCUAGAUCCUGGUUCUUCAGCAUGGAUGGAAAAACAUCUCAUCCAAUCAAAAUGCAAGCCUUGGCUCCAUUCUAUGGUGUCUGGCAUUUUUCUUCUUCCAUUCUCUUCACCCCUGUUUCAUUAUUUCAGUGUUGUCUGAACCCUUGCUGUUCCCAGUGUGGUUCUCCAACCAGCAACAGUGGCAUUGCCUGGGGAGCUGGUUUGAGAGGUAGGAUCUGAGGCUAGCUCCAAGUCUGCAGAGUAUGAAUCUGCAGGAUUCCCGGGCACAGAGCUUGAGAAAAGCAGCUCUAUGCAGACUCACUGGUGAGUCCAGCUGGCUGGGAGGGCAGAGGGACGCUCAGCCCAGGGGAGGCCAGAGCAUGGAUAACCCGCACAGUGACAGCAUGGCUGCUGUCGAUGGGAACGGCACCAGCUCUACACCCACUGGAGGCUGGGGACCAUCUGCAGACACUGAUGCUGAGGGGCAGCACCUGGCCCAGGGAUAGCAGAGAAGGGUCUGUCUCAUGUGCAAACCUGGUUGCCGGGUGUUGGCCAGGGUUGCUGGGCUGAGGAUGAUUUGGGAGGGAGAGUCUAGACGCUGGAGGAAAGAACUCUGUCAUCAAUUAGCUGUGUCUGCCGGCGCAUGAGAGGGGAGUGGCGCCUUGUGGGUGUUAUUUGCUCUCCUUGCCUAGAAUGUGCAGAAUUGCUUUUGUGCCAUUUAAACUUUCUUUCCUCCCCUCCUUCCUGCUAGAAGAUUUUCCAAGAGACGUUGCCAUUUGUGAGCCCAUCACUGCACGUGCCAGUCACCCAUCAACCUUCCCUGGGUUCAUGUGGACAGGACGAACGUGGGACCCGUAGUGUCUGGCCUGGACCCGGCCCCAGACAUCCAUGGCCACACCAGUUGCUCAAGAGCCAAAGAAUCUUCCAAGCCAGCAGUGUGGGGCCCCAGCCCGUGCGAUUCACUGCUGUGCUCAUUCCUGACAGCAUGCUUUCCGCAGCCUCUGCUGUAUGGUCCAGCAGCAAGGUACCCAGGUCUCGAUAUGUCUGGUUCCAGUUUCUUUUCUGAAAACCAAAACAGCUGUGUGUCUUGGAUCUGAGGACACUGCACAAUUCCUCUUAUCCCCAAAUACCUGCUUCCCCAUGGGACAUCCCAGUCCCUCAGAAGGGGCUGCUGAAUAGCUUGCAGAACCCCUUAGCUCAGACCUUCUCCCCCACCCGAAAGCCGGGCAAGGAAAGCUGUUCCCAUUUACAGAUGAGGAAAUUGAGGUUCUGAGAGGCGAGGGGAGCUGUAGAUCACAUGAGCACCCAGAGGCAAAGCUGGGAUGGACGAGUGGGGGAAGCCAUGGCCCCGUGUCCUGCACAUGGGCUGAGUGCCCCAUGGGGCACCUCUCUGAGUUCACCCGCACCGAAUGCCAGCCGGUGGGGCUGGGCACAGGCACCGUGGCUGGUGGGAAACCUCCCCAGUUCCUUCUAAGGAGCAUGCUGGACCCACACCCUCCCACAGAAGCUUUUCUGGAAACAAGCCUGAUGACCUCAGCACAUUUUUUCCAAACACACCCUUCCUCCCUCUCCCAAAAUCUCAGUGACUUUGGACCAUUUCCCUAAGGAUUGGCUAAGGCAGGGCUGAGGGCCUUCUCAGGGGACUCCCUCCUUGAGCAGCCCUGCAGCCCCCAUCCCACCCCAGCCACCGUCCUGGCCUGCUUAGCUGGGAUCUUCAACAGAAAAACCACAAAUAAUUGAGCUGUUUAGGAGAACAUCAGUCUGGGUUUCCAUGGCAACAACCUCUGGAGCCAGCUGCCCCGACAGCUAACAGCUCAGGGCCAGGCCAGCCUGCCUCCAGUUCAGUGGCGGACCCGGGUCCACGCUGGCUUCUGGGGUUCCAGACUAGGAGCCUGGUCCUCCACAACAGAGGUCAGGCUGGGCACCAGGAGGGGAAGCCUAGAGGGCUGAAGCCAGAAACCCCCAGAGCCAUCCCCCCGCCCCAAAUCAUCACACACAGGCCAGCUGCUGGGGGCCGGCACAGCUUCAAGGCUUCACUUCUUCCCUUCUGGCCUCAGCCUCACCCUCCUGCAGGGCCAGUCCCACUCCCCCCAGCAGGGCAGGUGGGGAAACAGAGGCCCCGCAGGGAUCUGUGGCUGGCCCCGGCACACAGCAGGCGCCUGGUUCCCGAGACCAUUCUGCAAUUUGUCUCAGCCUGUGGCUAUUCCCACUCCUGGAGUACAGACAACCCCAGGGGCCUCUGCCUGCCCAGCCUCUAAGGAGCAGAGAGUCUUCUGCCCCUGCAGAAUCCUAAGGGUAGCAGAGGCUGCGCUGGUUCCCUGGGCUUUAUCUGCCCUUUCUUGUUCUCUCCCCAUAAAAAGCCUACUCUCUUUACCCAUUUUGUUUAUGAGAAAAGGAAGGCACGGAGAGGGCAAGGAAGUCACCCGGAGUCACACAGCUCCUAAGCAGCAGGGCCCGGGUGGAGCCAGGACAGUUCAUAACCUGUGCCAUCUGGGAGCAUCAUCAAUCCCACCACACCUGGGGUUGCCAGGCUGCCCACAGUCCCCCACCCAGCAUAGAACCGACUUUUGAGGGACACAGCCUCUUGGAGACUCUGAAGCCGCUCAGCAGACAACUCCCUGGUGCCCCACAGGGCUCAUGCCCUGUGCCUGGGACCCCACCCGGGGGGUACAGAGAGAAAUAAGAGUGGGCUGCUACCAACCUGAACCUUGCCAUUGGGUGGAAGGGAGAGUUUUGUGGACCAACUGCCACUAAGCCAUGAAACAACAUAGGUGUGGCUCUACCUGGCAGCAAGUCUCACCAGGAAAGGUUUCCGAAAGAGGGAGGACUGGGGAGAGGGCAGGGUGAAGUCCUCCAUGUGAUGGGACCAGGAGCCCACAGACCACCGGGAGGCCCAGCCAGGGGCUGUGGGAGAUGGAGCUGUGCUGGAGCCACUGCUGAGUGGGUGAUGGGUGGGGCCGGAGCAGCGCCGUAUGCAAAGAGAGAGGAGCUAACAACUCUGCAACCAAAGAGCAACUAGAGAAAAGAAGCCUGUCUUUUAUUUGUGGAUUUGUGACUUUACGUACCUACUUUGUCACAAAAAGAAGAUUCUAGGAGGCUUACAAAAUUACAAAAAUGCACACAAUACAAUGUGAUUUUUAGUAGGUGAGGAAAACAUAAGAUGAAGCAGAAGUCAAAAUAUAUGCCCUAAGUCCUCAAUGUGUACUGUGUGAUGUAGUAGUAAAAUUGACUCUGAGUUCCCCGGCAGCCAAUGUGAAAAGGAAAACACACCCUGCCUUUGAAUUUACAAGGAGCAUGGGAUAAAACUAACAAGCUGCUGGGAGACACUGGGCUACAGCUACUUCUGAAAAAGAAGAGGAACUUCUUAUCAGGAUCAUGUUGACAGUGUCAGCAUGAAUAGCAACUGGACAGUGUCCCAGCACACACACAGGGAUGCCUCUGGCCCAUUUUAAUCAUAGCAUCCCUGGGGACAAGAGGUUGGCUCAGGCCCCCUGCAAGGGAUAAGCUGAGGUAGAGGGGCCUGCAGCUGUCUGGUGGCUGCGCCUGAAGAGGCUUGAGCACAGCUUCGAGGGUGAGGCAUAGUGGAAUCCAAACCUUGCAACUCCCAUGGGGAUGGGGACUUUGCAGAAUCCCACAAGAUUCUGCAAAGUCCCCGUCCCCCGCUCCUGCCCUCCUUCCAGUUGGAACUAAGUUACAGAAGCACCCACUUGGAGCCUGGUGCUCAGACUUGGCUGCAAGCUGCAAUCACCUGGGAGUUUACAAAGUUACUGGGCGCUGGGUUCCACCCCCAGUUCUGACCUAAUCUGUCCGGGGUGCGGUCUGGGCAUGAAAAGUUUUUCAGGCUCUCCAGGUGAUUCUCGUGUGCAGCCAAGUUAGAGAACACUGACUCCCGGGGAGGUGGAUUACCUGUCCUCCCGGCAAAGCGCAGGACUCGCAGUUUGGCAAGCUUCCAGCAGCAGCGAGUUCGGGUGGCUCCGUGGGGAGCCUUACCCCAAGGCGACAGCUGGGUGGAGGGUGCCCCCCAACAAGCCGUGGGGCUGAAGGGAAGCCACCCACCUCAGAGCAGGGGUUCACCAUCAGCCAUGGGGGUCCUCAAAAAAUAAUGUGGGUGGGCUCUUCUUCUAAGCGCCAGUUAUAUAAGUGAUCUGGACCUGUAAUUUUAUUCCUUAGAUAAGCUUUUCCCCAAGAUUGUGUUCUGCAUGGCGCUCAUUUCAUGAUGGUGUGAGUCAGUGGCACGCCAGAAGAUAUGCCAUGGCAAAGAGGCUGUGGAGCCCGUGGCAGCCAACAUUAAGCAGAGAUUUUUCACAGCCAAAGAUGCUGACUCAGCUCUCGUGCCCGGUUCCCCAAACUCUGGGCCAUGAAACCCUAUUUUCCAGAUCUAGUGUUUUUCAGGAGCUGGUUUCAUGGCACUGUGUUCUACAGCCUAUUCAUUGAGAAAGGCUGCUGUAAUAAUUUCAGCCAAACCUGAUUAUUAAAAAAAAAAAAAUCAUUAAUUAAGGAGCUCUAGGGGCCAACAGAAGCAGAACACCAAGCUUUGGAUACAGAGGCUUCCUGAAGGAACCUUGGAGAUAAAGUAGCUGAAACAUGUACCCGCAGGUAACCCAAUGAGUCGAAUCAGACUUGUUAGCGCUGUGUUGGCUAAAUGUUGAAAGAGGUUUACUAAAAAUGACAAUUCACGUUUUGGAACAAUUGAAUCUAUGCCAUUCUUUCUGGCAGUAGUCCAAUCCUAGGUCCAAUCACCUGUUUAAGGAGAUUUUCAGCUGGUGACAAAAUAAUUCCAUUAAUAAGACUUAAUAUUUUUAAUAUAAGGAAAAAAAUACUAUAAAUCAACAGAAAAGGACAAAGGACAAGAAAAAAAAACAAUGGAAAAACUAAGAAAUGCAGGCAGCCAGCAGAGGCCUGGUGAAUAGGCUGGGUUAUGCCACAGUAAAAAGCAUCCUCCCCAAAGCUGAGUGACUUAAACCACAAUGUCUGUUUUUUGCUCACGCUCCGUGGCAAGUGAGAGUCCCAGGCCUUUCUUCCCAUCAGUCUAGAGCAGAGGCUUUCGGAGGCUCAAUCUCAGCCUGGGCUCUAAGAUCUCAGGAGGACCAGGGACAGUGGAAGGAGUGAACAUUUACUGGCUCUUAAAGUUCCAUCCAGAAGAUACACACACUGCUUUCACUUGCACCCCCUUGGUCAAAAAAGUCCCGUGACCACACCCACUCUCAGAGCUGGUGAGGAGUGCAAUCUUACCUGAGCCCUGGAGGAGAAACCAAAUUCAGUGGGAACAAAGACGACAUCAGAACAACCAGGAGACACUGUGCAAUUGUUUGCCAAAGUUGACAAAAGCUAAAGCAAAAGUGAAUGGAACCUUGCCUUUAGGCAGUUUAUCUUUUUAGCCUUUUGGUGGAGAGAAGGGAAGAGAGAGGGCUGGGGACCUGGGGAGGAGUGGGGACAUCCAGCUCAGUGCCAGGGAAAGUGAUGUCAGGCACAGGUUAGGGAAGGGCAGGGCAGAACACCUCUCGCUGGCUCUGCUGGAAGGUCACUCAUGCACAGUGGUUCUCAUUAGGAUUAGGAUGCAAGCACCUUAGAAGCACCCUUUGCCUUGCGGAUGCCUGUGGCUAAUCCUCACGCAGAGAGAAAGGCCGAGGGAAGGUCAGGACAAACAGCAUAUCCUCAUCUUCCCCCUGGGGUUUUCCAGGACCGGAUGAUAGGACAAUAGUCAAUAACAGGAGACCAAGAAGCAAAGACCACCUAUGCCACGGAAGAAACUUGCAAUGUAUGAAUAAGGAAAGUGGCCAUUGCAGGAAUUAUCCAGCCCAGGCGUCAAGGUGUCUAGGAAGACAUGAGACCUACGUCUGGGCAGGGGCUCCGGGGCCGCCUUUGAAACUCUCUCCAAUGCACACACACCCACUGUGAGCCUCUGGACGCACUCCUGCCCCCAGGAAACUGAAACUCCCUGUGGAUACCAGGGCCCUCCUCCCAGAGGAAGAACAGUUGAGCUGCUCCCUGAUGGAAGAAAGACAGUUCCAGAACACGUGACGGUGAGGACAAGAAUUUCAAGCCAGGGGGAAGACAUGAAGGAAGGACCGGACACCUGGAGGUGGAAAUCGCAGACAAGGGCUGAGCUGGAGGGGGCUUUGGGGUGACUGGAUCACAGAGGGUAGAAAGGGGUGAAGCAAGCCUGGGUCAUAAGUUGGGGCUCCUUCAAAGCAGCCACAGACCCAGGGGGAGAGGCUGUGGGCACAGCUAAGCCCCUCGUUUGGUUGGUGAACUCUGACCCUCCUGAGGCAAUCCUAGUAAUCAUAGCAGCAAUACGCAUUGCAUUUUCGGGGUGGGCCAGGCCGGGCACUACCCACAUUCCUAGCAGUGAUUGUAUUUGAUCUGUUUGGUUUUGUCUGAGACAAGGUCUUGUGCUGUCGCCCAGGUUGGAGUGCAGUGGCACAAUCACGACUCUCUGAACCUCAACCUCCCAAGCCCAAGCAAUCUUCUAGCCUCAGCUUUCCAAGUGACUGGGACCCCAGGUGUGUGCCACCAUGCCCAGCUCAUUUCUUUAUUUUUUUGUAGAGAUGAGGUUUCACUGUGUUCUCCAGGCUGGUUUCAAAUUCCUGGGCUCAAGUGAUCCUCCUGCCUCAGCCUCCCGAAGUGCUGGGAUUAUGGGUGUGAGCCACCGUGCUGGGCCUCAUUUGAUCCUUUUAACAGCUCUGUAAGCAGAUGCAAUGAUCACCUCCAAUCUAUUGGUGGAAUAACUGGGGCUCGAGUCAGACCACAUGAGCCAUCAUUAGCAGAGGCUAGGUCUCUUUGGGGACCAAGCCUUCAGAUAAUAAAAAUAGCCGUACGGACAGUAACACAAACCCACCUCACUUAUCCAAAUUCUGAAAUCCAAAAACCUCUGAAUCCCAGAAUUUUCUCAUAACUUACUUGGCAUCAAAACCUGACCUGGAAUUUUUGGCAACAGAAAAAGUUCCACCAGAACAAAUCUUCACUUGUGUUCUUUAGGGUGAACAGCCAUCUGUUUCGUGGAUUCGAAUACGGGACACAGCCCAGCCGCACUGGGAGGGUUGCAAUAAUAGAUGAUAUUCUCACCCAAUUCCCUUUCUAAAAUCCACAAAAAGGCCCAGUCUUUUGGCAGAAGGGUGGCCUUUGGCCCUUCUGCAAAGAUCCUGCUGUCAGUUGGAAGGAGGUCAGGAGUCCACAUUUCUAGUUCCCGUCCUGCCACUCCUGGUUUCUCUCUGUGGCAGAAUGGAAGCGGCUCCUGAGUGAGGCUGCCGGGCAGGUGAAUAAGAAGCUCCCUGAAUGAAGCCCCCUGCACGAAGGGAAGCUGUCGGCCACCCUGUUUCUGGGACUGAUGGCCCUUGAGGAAGGGUUGGUCUUAUUGCCCCGUGGGAAAGAGAUUUGGGUCCAGGAGACCUGGGUCCUCGUGGUGGAGCUCCCUUCUAUAGGUGGAAUAAUUGGGGCUCAUCGUGGCCUCAUUUUUCUCUUUGCAAAGCAUGAGGACUGGGAGCAGAGAUCAGCAGUCCCCACGACUGGGGCCGCCUGGGACGCGCUAAGCCGGACACAAGGCAUUUUCUCAGACCCAGCCCCCCCAGACCCCCCAGGCCCCCAGGUCCUAGGACGAGCUCUGCACACCCCGUGCUUUCAUUGACGGGUGGUCAGGCCCAGCGUCCUCGCUUUCCAUGACUAGUCCUGCUUUUCGGGGUGGAGAGCAGGGGCCUUCCCGGAGCCUCGAU
rnacentral:lncRNA from 10 species